ACGGGAGGCAGCAGUGGGGAAUAUUGCACAAUGGGCGCAAGCCUGAUGCAGCGACGCCGCGUGCGGGAUGGAGGCCUUCGGGUUGUAAACCGCUUUUGUUCAAGGGCAAGGCACGGCUUCGGGCCGUGUUGAGUGGAUUGUUCGAAUAAGCACCGGCUAACUACGUGCCAGCAGCCGCGGUAAUACGUAGGGUGCGAGCGUUAUCCGGAUUUAUUGGGCGUAAAGGGCUCGUAGGCGGUUCGUCGCGUCCGGUGUGAAAGUCCAUCGCCUAACGGUGGAUCUGCGCCGGGUACGGGCGGGCUGGAGUGCGGUAGGGGAGACUGGAAUUCCCGGUGUAACGGUGGAAUGUGUAGAUAUCGGGAAGAACACCAAUGGCGAAGGCAGGUCUCUGGGCCGUUACUGACGCUGAGGAGCGAAAGCGUGGGGAGCGAACAGGAUUAGAUACCCUGGUA
rnacentral:rRNA from 1 species